rnacentral:lncRNA from 1 species
AAACUCUGACCUAUUUUUUUUGGACAUUUGCAUAGUGUGGGCCUCAGAAGGAAGCUGGCUGGAAUUUGACAUCACAGCCACUAGUAGUCUGUGGGUUGUAACCCCACAGCAUAACAUGGGGCUUCAGCUGAGCGUAGUGACAGAGGAUGGAGUCCACAUCCACCCUCUAGCUGCAGACCUGGUGGGCAGAGACAGCACUUAGGCUAUGCAGCCCUUCAUGGUGGCUUUCUUCAAAGUCAUUGUGGUCCAUGUGUGCAUCACCAGGUCAGCCUCUGGCUGGCGUUGACAGCAGAGUUGUACUCACUUUACCCAGUCCCACUACGUGGCUCAAGUCUCCAGUACUUCAGAUUACAUCAGCAGCAAAUUAAAAACAGCCUGCAGGAAGCAUGAGCUAUAUGUGAGCUUCCAAGACCUGGAUGGCAGGACUGGUUCAUCGCACCCAAGGGCUAUGCUGCUAAUUACUGUGAUGUAGAAUGCUCCUUCCCAAUCAAUGGACAUGUGAAUGCAAUCAACCAUGUGAUCAUUCAGACCUUGGUUCACCUUAUAGAUCCUGAAUAUGUCCCAAAGCUGUGCUGUGUGCCAACUAAACUCAAUGCCAUUUUGGUUCUUUACUUCAAUGACAAUUCCAAAAUCACCUUGAAAAAAAUACAGAAAUAUGGUUGUAAGAGCUUGUGGAUAU